GACAGAGGGUGCAAACGUUGUUCGGAAUUACUGGGCGUAAAGCGCGUGUAGGCGGCCAUCUAAGUCGGGCGUGAAAUCCCACGGCUCAACCGUGGAAGUGCACUCGAAACUGGAUGGCUAGAGUCCUGGAGAGGAAGGUGGAAUGCUUGGUGUAGAGGUGAAAUUCGUAGAUAUCAAGCGGAACACCGGUGGCGAAGGCGGCCUUCUGGACAGUGACGUGACGCUGAGACGGCGAAAGCGUGGGGAGCAAAC
rnacentral:rRNA from 1 species